ACAAUUAUUGUAGCGUGAUUUUCAUAAUCAUAAUGGAAAAUAUGAUUCUCCCUCUUUAUUAUACGUUUAAUUGGGCCUGGUGACGAGUGGGCUUAUAGUGGGAUUGUUUAAAUUUACGAAACCGUGUAAAAAGGAAGGAAGCGUCUAGAAAAGAGAUGGAACCCUAAUCUAGGCAGGAAGAUGAUGAAUUUGGGGUUGAAGAUGAUGAGGAACCUUGGAUCUGGGUGUGCGAAGUUUGGACGCAGUGAGAGAUGGUAUUGUGUUUCGAGACGUGAAAAGAUAUCCUUCUCCACACCUCCAGAGGUUACCUUCUCGACGCCUCCUUCUGUAGUUAGUCUCCUGUUUACAUCCUUCUUCGGGUAUCUAUGCUACCAAACAAAAGCUGCUUCAGAACAGGAACGUCUCUGGGAUGUUCUGUCUGAAAAGAGAAACCAGAUUAGGAUCCUGUCGCGACAAGACGAGUCAAAGCGUAAGAAAGUAAAAGAGGCAGAAAUAAAGCUUAUUGAAAAGGCAGCAACCGUGCUUAGUGAAGAAAUCCAAGUCUAAUGUCUGAAGUCUCUAUGUAUUCAAUAUCUCUCUCUAUGUUAUAUAAGUUGUUAUGCAGUUUGUGUUUCACUGUCUUCUAAAACUGAUAUGUAAUAAGUUUGCUACUUAAAAGAGAGGCAUAAUUUAUAUAUAUGCUAGUGAAGGAAUUUGAUGUUUUUUUGGAUUCUAUGAAGUUGUUUGAAACAAGUCUCUGAUUUAACAUUCAUAAAUUGAAGUCGGGUUAAUAUGA